rnacentral:lncRNA from 1 species
CACAAGGACAGACCCAUGGCUCCAGCUGCAUAUGUAAUAGAGGAUGGCCUUAUUGGGCACCAAUGGGAGGAGAAGCCCUUGGUCCUGCCAAGGCUGGACCCCCAGGGUAGAGGAAUGUCAGGGUGGAGAGGCAGGAUGGGGAGGUGGUUGGGGAGGGGGAUCACUCUUAUAGAAGAGGGAGAGGGGGAUAGGAUAGGGGGCUUAUGGCUGGGAACCCAGGACAUAACAUUUGAAAUAUAAAUAAAAAAUAUCCAAUAAAAAAUA